UGCUCCUGCAGCUGCAGAGAUCAGCUGUACUUCUGAGACUUAUGCCCUCAAGAUGAAGUUCUUACUGGAAAUUCUCUUUUUUGUUUUGUUGUCUUUAUGGGUUGAAGAAGCCUAUUCCAAAGAGAAAUCUUCAAAGAAAGGAAAGGGGAAAAAGAAGCAAUAUCUCUGCCCAUCCGAGCAGUCAGCUGAAGAUCUUGCAAGAGUACCUGUUAAUUCUACCAGCAAUAUCUUGAAUAGGCUGUUGCUCACUUAUGAUCCCAGGAUAAGACCAAAUUUCAAAGGAAUUCCAGUCGAUGUAACAGUCAACAUUUUCAUUAACAGCUUUGGAUCAAUCCAAGAGACAACGAUGGAUUACAGAGUUAACAUCUUCCUAAGACAAAAGUGGAAUGACCCCAGACUUAAAUUGCCCAAUGACUGGAGGGGUUCAGAUACACUGACAGUGGACCCUACAAUGUUUAAAUGUCUGUGGAAACCAGACUUGUUCUUUGCAAAUGAAAAGAAUGCCAACUUCCAUGAUGUCACUCAAGAAAAUAUUCUUCUAUUUAUAUUUCGGGAUGGAGAUGUUCUAGUCAGUAUGAGAUUAUCCGUUACUCUGUCAUGCCCUUUGGACUUGACCUUGUUUCCUAUGGAUACACAGCGUUGCAAGAUGCAAUUGGAGAGCUUUGGUUACACAACUGAUGAUUUACGAUUUAUCUGGCAAUCUGGAGAUCCUGUUCAGUUAGAAAAAAUUGCUUUGCCCCAGUUUGACAUUAAAGAAGAGGAUAUUGAAUAUGGUAACUGUACCAAAUAUUAUAAAGGCACAGGUUAUUACACUUGUGUAGAAGUAAUCUUCACUUUAAGAAGACAAGUUGGAUUUUACAUGAUGGGUGUUUAUGCUCCUACACUGCUAAUUGUUGUUCUGUCGUGGCUGUCAUUUUGGAUCAAUCCUGAUGCAAGUGCUGCAAGAGUGCCACUGGGUAUCUUCUCAGUGCUCAGCUUGGCAUCUGAAUGUAUGACUCUUGCUGCUGAACUCCCCAAAGUGUCUUAUGUGAAGGCCUUAGAUGUCUGGCUGAUCGUUUGUCUUCUUUUUGGGUUUGCUUCACUGGUUGAGUAUGCAGUGGUUCAGGUAAUGCUGAACAAUCCAAAGAGAAUUGAAGCUGAGAAAGCAAAAAUUGCCAAGGCGGAGCAAGCAGAAGGGAAAGGAGGCAAUGUAGCCAAAAAGAACACGGUAAAUGGUACAGGGACCCCCGUGCACAUCAGCACUUUACAGAUUUGAAAGUCCCUUUCCUGUUUGCUCGGCAAUGUGUGCAAUGGUCUCAGCGCAUCUUUCCAGGUGGCCAUGCCUGCUCCACGCACCAGACGAUCCCCCGUUUGGAGCAAUGCUGAACUGCUGGACCUCAUUGGCAUUGGGGGAGAGGAGGCAAUGCAGUCACAGCUGCGCUCCAGCCAUCGGAAUUAUGAUACCUAUGGUCAGAUUUCUAGAUGCAUGAUAGAAAAGAGUCAUGACCGGGACACAUUGCAGUGCAGGGUCAAAGUGAAGGAGCUGCAGAACGCCUACCACAAGGCACGGGAGGCAAACCGUUGCUUGGGUGCUGCGCCCACAAGCUGCUGGUUCGAGUAUCGCAUUCAGCUCUUUGUAGGUGGUGACCCCACCUCCGUUGCGAAGUCCCCUGUGGAUAUUUUGUUGACUCACGUGCCAGUCAAGAGUGGACUGAGCCAGGAGGAGGCAAUCUUGGAUGAAGAUGGGGAGCCAGAGGCAGAGGAUGACUCGGAGGCUAGAGAUGCAUGCAGUCAGGAUCUCUUUUCUACCCUGGAGGAGCCUAGCCAGUCACAGCAGUUGGAUCUUGGUGAAGCGCAAACAGGAGAGGAGGCCCCUGAGAUGACCUUGGGAGCACAGCCUCCCUCUUUGUUAUUGGUGGCAGAACAGUUGUGAAGAAUUAGGAAGCAUCCAAGAAGAACUAAGGAGGACUUUAUACAUGAGGUUAUGAUGCACUCCGCCGCCAAGAAAAAGGAAUCGAAGGAGUGGCAGGAUAGCGAGAAGAGGGAAAGAAAGGAGAACGCAGCACACCAAAAAGAAGCUACGGAACGGCUGUUAACAGUUAUGGAGCACCAAGCGGACAUGCCCCAGGCGAUACUAGCUCUUCAAACCGAGCAGCUUUGCGCCUGCCCUCCCCUGCAGCCACUGUCACAAAACUCUUUCCCAUGCGCACCCCCCACACUGCCAACACACUCUUAUCAACCUCCUGGCUCCACUCUCUACCCGCAGCAUUCCACUCCUCCCUCCUCCCAGUCCAGCAGUGUGGACUCUCUCUACCCACUGCACUCAACACCCAUCCCUCUGCAGUUUGGCCCUGCUGAAGUACAGCACCCACUGCAUCAUACUCCAAAGAAGAAGGUUGGGUAUGAUCCCUGGACAUACACAAAUCUAUAGCUGUCCUGGGACCCCUCCUCCUCUUGAGUCCUUUCCAUUUCCCCAUCCCCCUCCCUACUGAUGAUUUUUUUUGUUUGACUCUCUCCUCUGGU